rnacentral:lncRNA from 1 species
AUGAAGGUCCGUCUUCAAAUGGUGGCAGAAAAACCUCAUCGAAAAUUUCCUCGUUGCAAAAGUUACCCACUUAUUUACGCUAUCACGAUCAGGCCUGCAGGAUUUAGGUCCGAGGCACACAAUGGCCCAAAUCACGGUGGGGGGGAUGUGUGUGUGUGUGUGCGCGUGUGUGCGUGUGCGCGUGCCCCGGCCCACGCGGCCCCGGCGGCCAGCUCGCAGGCCCAGCAGGAAGCACAUGUGCGGCCUUUCCCACGAUCACUAAGCACUUCAGGACGGUGCCUGCGACGCACUGGCCAGGCCUGGGCCCCGGAAGCUGGGCCGGCGCAUCUGCUGAGGCAGGAGGGUGGCCCGGAUGCAGCCGUUUGCCUGCACAUGGCCUCACGGGGGGAAGGCAGAGGCGUCCUGGGUGCAGCGGGACACCUUGUCCCCUCAGCCCGCGACUCACUCUUCAUGCGGCUGAUACUCAGCUGGCUCCACAGCCCCACAUCCCCACAUCCCCACAUCCCCACAUCCCCACAUCUCCACAGCCCCACAGCCCCACAGCCCCACAGCCCCACAUCCCCACAUCUCCACAGCCCCACAGCCCCACAGCCCCACAUCUUCACAGCCCCACAGCCCCACAGCCCCACAGCCCCACAUCUCCACAGCCCCACAUCUCCACAUCUCCACAGCCCCACAUCUCCACAGCCCCACAGCCCCACAUCUCCACAUCUCCACAGCCCCACAGCCCCACAGCCCCACCGCCCCACAUCUCCACAGCCCCACAGCCCCACAUCUCCACAUCUCCACAGCCCCACAUCUCCACAGCCCCACAGCCCCACAUCUCCACAUCUCCACAGCCCCACAGCCCCACAGCCCCACCGCCCCACAUCUCCACAGCCCCACAGCCCCACAUCUCCACAUCUCCACAGCCCCACAUCUCCACAGCCCCACAGCCCCACAUCUCCACAUCUCCACAGCCCCACAGCCCCACAGCCCCACCGCCCCACAUCUCCACAGCCCCACAGCCCCACAUCUCCACAGCCCCACAGCCCCACAUCUCCACAUCUCCACAGCCCCACAGCCCCACAUCUCCACAGCCCCACAGCCCCACACUUUGGUUGGAGAACAUCUCAACAGUGA